rnacentral:rRNA from 1 species
CGUAGGGGUGCGAGCGUUGUCCGGAUUUUAUUGGGCGUAAAAGGGCUCGUAGGUGGUUGAUCGCGUCGGAAGUGUAAUCUUGGGGGCUUAACCCUGAGCGUGCUUUUCGAUACGGGUUGACUUGAGGAAGGUAGGGGGAGAAUGGAAUUCCUGGUGGAGCGGUGGAAUGCGCAGAUAUCAGGAGGAACACCAGUGGCGAAGGCGGUUCUCUGGGGCCCUUUUCCUGACGCUGAGGAGCGAAAAGCGUGGGGAGCGAACAGGCUU